GUGCUUGCUCUGGUAGCACAUAUAUUAAAAUUGGAAUGAUACAGAGAAGAUUAGCAUGGCCCCUGCACAAGGACAACAUUCAAAUUUGUGAAACACUGCAUAUUUUU
rnacentral:snRNA from 1 species